rnacentral:lncRNA from 1 species
CUACUUUCACCCCUAUGCUUACUAUAUAACCUGUAGAAAAAGAUCAUCUACUACACAAAUCUCAAAGUACUCUUGGUAUAUGAGCUAUAGUUAAGGAUUAUCCGUAAUACAAAUCUCAAAACACACCAAACCUCUUCAUUCAUUCUCCUACAUAAAUCUCAAAGCAUUUUUAGUGCAUGAUAUAUAGUUAAGGAUUAGUAUCGAGC